rnacentral:lncRNA from 1 species
UAUAAAUAAGAACGGCUUAUUUCAAAAACAGACAUAAGUUCAGGUAUAAACAACAACUAAAUUAAUUUUGCGUUUGGAUAAAAAUUGAACCUAAGAAUAAAGUAAAUAACAUUUGAUUGGUUAGACUGGAAUAAAAAAAAUAAGAAUUAUAAUUUUAAAUUAAAAAUAUUUUAUCUAAUUAAUUAAUACCAAAAUAUUAAUUAAAAAUAAUGUUAAAAAUUUAUUAAAUUUAUUAGCUAUGAAUAGUGUAUAGGAUAAUAAAAAUAUAUUAAUUCAUUAAUUAAAUUUAAAAACUAUUUAACUAUUUAAAGUUAGUAAAUUAUUUUAGUUUGAUAAUUAGUAAAGA